UAACCCUAAAGACCUACCUCCACAUUCUCUUAUUUCUCUCUUUAUCUCCUCCGUUACAGCCUCUCAUCUCUCUCAAGCUCUCUCUUUGCUAAACCCUACUCUCCUCUCACCGAUUGUUGGCUCGCCGGUAACAAUGGUGGUUCCACCACCACCACUAGCCUCCAUGGCUCAUGCAUGCCGGAUUAUUGCUACCCUUAGGUCCUCAAGGGACCAGCGGAUAUUUAACUCCUCCCCCCUCCUCAUGAUUUUUCAUGUCAUUCUAAGGCCAAUCUUUGCCUGUCCGAGUAAGAACCUGUGGUUUCUAGGUAGAUUCUCUUUCUCAUUUGGGAUAUCACUCUGAAAGCCUAACUAUUAGCUCUUGAUUUCUUAGAUCUGUAAUAGAUAUGGGUAUAUUCUGAGUUAUUGUGCUGUUUUCCUUAAAGUUUUUUCGAUUUUUCUAAAACGACUCUUCAUCUUCAAACCAUGGUUUUUAAACCCUUUUCAAAAUGGCUUUCCCUUAUGAUUUUUGUAUUAAUCUAUGAUUUUCACUAUAUUUAAACGUUUAUUUAAGUUUUCUCUUUUUAUCUGAGUUAUUAUGUUGGAAACCCUAAGUUUCUUGAUUUUAAUCCUGGAUUCUGAGUAUGUUUUGUGAUAAUAUGUUUCCUUAAUCUGUAUGUGUGCUUGUUUCUCAUGAGCCUUAAGAUUCUCUUUGGUUUUAUCCUAUUUUCUUCAUCAGUGUCUCUGACUUUUACUUCUUCUGCCAAUGUCAUGUUUAUUCUAUUAAUUCAUGCUAUGCUCUAUGUGAAUCCCUAAUUUUGUGUAAAUUUACCCUAUUUGGCUUAUUAAGGUUUCUGAUUCUUGCCUAUUUUGUGUUUAUUAUGCUUGUUCUCAUAAAUUUGUGUCAGUUUCUCCUAAAUGAGUACUAUUUGCUAUUUUUAAAUCUUUGAAUCUCUGUGAUUGAUCCUUCACUUAUUUCUUGUGAUAUUCUCUAUUGAUGUUAACAUUAGUAUAUUUUCUUACCUUAAUCUAUUGUCAAGCAUGUUGUCAACUGAUUCUUAAGUUUUUUUCUUGAUUAGAAUCUGCUGAACCUAGUCUCCAUUACAUGUUGUGUAUUUGUACUAUGCUGAAAAUAUUUCCUUAUUUCUUAUAUUCAGCCUUAUAUGAUUUAUUUCCUUAUUUAGUAUUUGCAUGCGACCGUUCAAAUUUAACUCCUUAAUUAAAGGAAGUACUUAUACUGAUUUGAUUUUAUUUUGUACAUAGUAUCAUACUUACUGUUGAACUAUGAUUCUUACCUUAUUCUCUACCUAUUUUAAAACUAUAAGUACCUUGCUCUUUCAUCAACACAAGGACACAAACACAUUGGUUCAAAAACUCUACCUCACACAAAAACUCUCUUCUGCUCUCUUUUCACUGGUUACUUGCUAUUGUUCUAAGUCAGCCGACUGCAAGCCAAGGCUGAUUACUCUACUCUCCUGCUCCUCACUUUGUGUUUACUACCUUCUUUCCUGGUAUGUUCUGAUUUUAAUUCAAGUUCCAAAAAUAAUAUGGUCCUUUUAUUACUUUAAUUCAUCAUGUUUCUUGUCUGCUUUUACUUAUGGCUUUGCUGUGAAACUCAUAGUUGAUAUAUUUACAUUAUUAGCAUGUAAUGUACUCCCAUUCCUUAGGAUCAGUAUAAAUAUAUUAACCCCCCCCCCCCAUUCUGUGUAGGAUGUAUCCUUGUGAUCUUGCUCUAUCUGGUUUCUGGUAUGAAUAUCCUUGUAAAGUAGUCUGCACUCCUAAACUUGUAUGAUUCUGGGAUUGAUUUUAAAUUAUGGUGAUCCUAUAUUGAACCCCAUAAGCAUUGCUAAUUCUAUGACUAUGUCUAAUCAGUGUUUCUAAGCAUAUCUGUACCAAUUCCAAAACCUUUUGUCUGCUAUGUCUUUAUCAUUAUGUGCUUUACCUGUCCCCAAUUCCCAUUUACCCUUGUGUGAAGGCAUGUGGUGCUAAACUUGUCUUGGUUCUUUGUUCUAUGUGUGAUGUUGAAUCUGUUUUGGUUUUGAGGUUGGUCUGUUAUUUGUUGAUUGCCUACUCUUUUCAAAAAUGUCUUGUUGAAUAACUCCUAUGUUGUUUUACAAAACUAUUUUCAAGUCUCUUUUCAAAUUGUUUUCCUACUUAAACUUUUUUCAAAACUAUGUCAAGCACUCUCACUCUAUUCUUAGAUCCCUAAGUUCUACCUCUCUAAUGUGUGACUGUUUAGGGAUCCCGAUGAGAUCCCUUUGAACUUUUUGCAUUAGAACUUGCACUUUCACACUACACAUACUCAAAUAUGGUUGUGAAAUCUAGGUGUGAGCACUGACCAGGAUUCCUUGAGGUCCUUAGGAACUCUGACACACCCGGAUAUGGAGAAAUACUAGGAAACAAUCUGAGCAGUUGAGGUUUUGAAAAUCAUGGCCUAUUUGUAGGCUCCCUAUAGUAUAGCUUCUUAUUAUUCUUUAUAUAUUAAUGUAACUCAUUCAAUACUUGUUUGUAAUAUUCAUUGUAAGCGAAUAUGGGGGGUUGGCUAGUGAAAAAGGGGAGGGUAGCUAUACAUGUUAUCAAAGGGUAGAAAACAUGCUUUAGGUUUACAUUUUUCUUAUGUGCAUUAGAAUUCAUGUUUAGGACCAAAACAUAGCAUAUCAUACAUUAGAUACCAUGCUCCUAGUUUUUAUGUAUACUGUUGUCAUCAUUUCAUUUUGAUAUCCUUAUUAUCACUUAGAAAUCAUGUUUCUAGAAUAAACGACAACAUUAAAAUAAAUGGUUACUUUUGCAUAUUAUGAAAUUAUGUUAUAACCUGUUGUGCAUUUAGAAAUCGUGCUUUAGGACAUUCUGAACCUUAAAUGUGCAUAUUAGAUACCAUGUUUAAGAUCUCGUUUAUACUUGCUCAGUGACACCUAGUUAAUCUAAUCAUGCAUGAAAAGGAUACAAAAUAGUCUCAUGUCUAAUUAUCUUGUUUAAGUAAAACUAGUAAUAAUUCUAUAUCUUGUAAAACGUAGAACAACAUGCUUUGGGUAAAAUAUCUCCUACCCUGUUUUAAUAAUUCUGAUAACUAUUGUGCAUUAUCCUAUGCCUAGGAAAGCCAUAGGUGAUCAACCUCUAUAAAACUAGAAACUGUUCUUUGUGUUUACUGCUUAAUGAUUAACAAGCAUAAAAUCAGUAGGCAAACUGAUUAGGCCCCUGUUUCUAAAAGGGAAGAAAAACGGGGGCGCAACAGCAUGGCGACUUUGCUGGGGGUACCUUUAGGCUCUUACCAUAAAAAACUUUUUUAUGAAUUAGUCCAAGCACGCUUUAUCCCAUACCCUUUCCCUUUUUUAAUUUAAUUAUCCGUUUUCGUUUAAGCAUUUAUGACUAUUUAUCCCUGAAAUUGACGUGUCUCUUUAUUUUCUUUUUCCUGUAACUGUCUUUCAAUUAUUUAAAUAUUGUAUUUAUUUUUCCUACGUGCAAAUACUUGACUACAUGUUAUUAAUCGUUGCAUCAUCCCACUCGUGUGUAUAGCAACGCUUAAUGAGUGGUUAUGCUCUUCCUAUUUAUUACCCUUAAAUUUGAAAAGGCUUAUUUGGGAUAAAACCAGUCGAUCAGCAAUGCACCCAACGGCUUUGUGCCUUACCACUUAAGUUGUAUGCUUGAGGGUACCAGUCUAAAACCCCAUAGUAACCUUACUUUGGUCAAAGUUGUGCAUACAUCAUGGUCUAACCUAGUCGGAUUAAUAUGUUGUCCAUAUAAUGAUCCUUUAAGAUAAGCCUUGUCCAAAAGUCCAUCGGGGUUUCUAUAAUCCCAACAUACACAACCACAUUCUAUAAAUUAAUUUGGAGAACUAAAUGCUGAAAUGCUAAUUAUAAAUGAAUAAAUAGUCGAGUCUGGUGGGGAAAAAGGGACUAGCCCUUUUGUUUUGUAGAAAAUGAGGUACGAGGUCCCAUCUUCGAUAUGGUUAGCACACCCUCCCUCUUGCUAGACUGGUGGAGGAAUUUUCUAUCAAGUGACCAAAUCAACGAAUGGAAACAGAGGGCCAUCAAAUCGAGCAAAAAGUUGGAAUAUCUAGUAUAGCACACCCUUACUCUUGCUAGACUUGUAGAGGAAUCUUCCAUCAAGUGACCAAAUUAAUUAAUGGAAAGACAGGGUCGUCAAAUCUAGCAAAAAGCUGGAAUAUCUGGAAUAUAGUGUGAUGGAAUUGGAAGGAAGAGAAGCACCAACUACUAGAACGUUGAGGGAAACCAAGGCGGCCAUUCGGCAAAGGCACUCUUACUGAUGAGCCUACGCGAAUUGAGGGAUUUGAUCAACAAGAUCAUUCAGCCUGAAGAAGGUCCUUUCAACCAAAAAGAUUAGGUUUAUUUUUUUUUUCAAAUGUAAUAAGGCCAAGUGCCAGUAGUGACUUAUUUUCUUUUAUCUUAGUAUUGUUUUGG
rnacentral:lncRNA from 1 species